rnacentral:rRNA from 1 species
CGGUUUAAUUGGAUUCAACGCCGGAAUACUUACCGGGACCGACAGCAAUAUGAAGGCCAGGCUGAAGACUUUGCCGGAUUAGCUGAGAGGUGGUGCAUGGCCGUCGUCAGUUCGUACUGUGAAGCAUCCUGUUAAGUCAGGCAACGAGCGAGACCCACGCCCACAGUUGCCAGCGUACUCUCUGGAGUGACGGGUACACUGUGGGGACCGCCGCUGCUAAAGCGGAGGAAGGAAUGGGCAACGGUAGGUCAGCAUGCCCCGAAUUAUCUGGGCUACACGCGGGCUACAAUGGGUGGGACAAUGGGUAUCGACACCGAAAGGUGAAGGCAAUCUCCUAAACCCAUCCGUAGUUCGGAUUGUGGGCUGCAACUCGCCCACAUGAAGCUGGAAUCUGUAGUAAUCGUGUCUCAAAAUGGCACGGUGAAUAUGUCCCUGCUCCUU